CAAAAGAGCCACGCCCCUUUUCUCAGAAAGCAUGGAGGACCCUAACUUAUGGAAGAAAGGUGGAGGGGAGUUGUUGCUGAAUUCCUUUGAGGCGAAACAAGGAGGGGAAUUCAGGGAAGGAAAAAGAAAAGAUGUAAUCCCUGAAACACGCGAGUGCUUGACAUAAACAAACACACUGGGAGGAUUUCAAAGGAACGGCCGCUUCCCGGGAACCCUCUCAUGUGCAGAUGGUGAGAUAAGGAAGCAAAUGCAGAGCAGAGAGGGUUCCUUUGGAUUGUUCAUGUCGGCUCCAUAAUCACAUUCAAUAUCUAUGAUAAUUGCUACACUGAUGACACUCGACUCUACCCUUCAAUCCCCCUUUUUAUUUUAUUUUUUUCAAACACUUCUUGAUGUGUUCAUCGUGUCUCUCCGGUUGACAUCCCCAGCUGGAUGUCUGCCCUCCACCUCCAGCUGAAACCUGACAAGACUGAGCUGCUGUAGACACAAAAUGUCUUCUGCUCUUUGUCACUAUUCACAUCAGCACAAUGCCUCCUGUCAGGACAAACAAGUGUCUGGGUGUGAGCCUUGACAACUGUCAGGGCAACCAAUAAAUAAGAUUUGACAAGACUGUGGUGGGCGGGGAAAAAAAGAGGAUUUUGUUCAUCUGAAGGAGCCAUGAGUCAAGAUUUGAUCCUUGAUUUUAUGUCAAACUAUCUAAGGUUAUUUUGUCUUUCUUCGUUGAGCCUAAAUCCUCGGGAAGAUGCUCUGAGGUGGAUUCUGCUUAAGCACAGUCAGGACAACUUUGCCUAGUGUGAGUACGUCCUAAGACUCUGUGGUCCGCAACUUCAGAGCACUGGAUUCUUGUGUGCCUUAUAAUAAUCAUUCACUAUUAUUCAACAAAAUAUGGUGUAACUAAAUUAGAUUUUAAUGUCUUAUUUUUGCUUUAUGUCAAAUUGCUGCAUUUAUUUUGGAUCUUAUUACAUUUUUUUAAACAUAUUUUCAUAUUUUAUCGUCUCUGUGAUUUUUUGAUGGUUGGU